rnacentral:tRNA from 1 species
UUUGGUGUUUAGCACGUUAAAUUUUGAAUUUAAAAGUAAUAAAAAAUUUUUAUUAAAG